rnacentral:rRNA from 1 species
GAUGAACGCUGGCGGCAUGCCUAAUACAUGCAAGUCGAGCGAACGGACGAGAAGCUUGCUUCCCUGAUUGUAGCGGCGGACGGGUGAGGAACACGGGGAUAGCCUACCUAUACGACUGGGAUAACUUCGGGAAACCAGGGCUAAUAACGGAUAAUAUUUUGAAUCGCAUGGUUCAAAAGUUGAAUACGGUCUUGCUGUGACUUAAAGAUGGACCCGCGCUGCAUUAGCUAGUUGGUAAGGUAACGGCUUACCAAGGCAACGAUGCAUAGCCGACCUGAGAGCGUGAUCGGCCACACUGGCGCUGAGACACGGUCCCGACUCCUACGGGAGGCAGCAGUAGGGAAUCUUCCGCAAUGGGCGAAAGCCUGACGGAGCAACGCCGCGUGAGUGAUGAAGGUCUUCGGAUCGUAAAACGCUGUUAUUAGGGAAGAACAUAUGUGUAAGUAACUGUGCACAUCUUGACGGUACCUAAUCAGAAAGCCACGGCUAACUACGUG